rnacentral:rRNA from 1 species
GAGUUUGAUCAUGGCUCAGAUUGAACGCUGGCGGCAUGCCUUACACAUGCAAGUCGAACGGCAGCAUGAUCUAGCUUGCUAGAUUGAUGGCGAGUGGCGAACGGGUGAGUAAUACAUCGGAACGUGCCCUGUAGUGGGGGAUAACUAGUCGAAAGAUUAGCUAGUACCGCAUACGACCUGAGGGUGAAAGUGGGGGACCGCAAGGCCUCAUGCUAUAGGAGCGGCCGAUGUCUGAUUAGCUAGUUGGUGAGGUAAAGGCUCACCAAGGCGACGAUCAGUAGCUGGUCUGAGAGGACGAUCAGCCACACUGGGACUGAGACACGGCCCAGACUCCUACGGGAGGCAGCAGUGGGGAAUUUUGGACAAUGGGGGCAACCCUGAUCCAGCAAUGCCGCGUGUGUGAAGAAGGCCUUCGGGUUGUAAAGCACUUUUGUCCGGAAAGAAAUCGCACUUACUAAUAUUAGGUGUGGAUGACGGUACCGGAAGAAUAAGGACCGGCUAACUACGUGCCAGCAGCCGCGGUAAUACGUAGGGUCCAAGCGUUAAUCGGAAUUACUGGGCGUAAAGCGUGCGCAGGCGGUUGUGCAAGACCGAUGUGAAAUCCCCGGGCUUAACCUGGGAAUUGCAUUGGUGACUGCACGGCUAGAGUGUGUCAGAGGGGGGUAGAAUUCCACGUGUAGCAGUGAAAUGCGUAGAGAUGUGGAGGAAUACCGAUGGCGAAGGCAGCCCCCUGGGAUAACACUGACGCUCAUGCACGAAAGCGUGGGGAGCAAACAGGAUUAGAUACCCUGGUAGUCCACGCCCUAAACGAUGUCAACUAGUUGUUGGGGAUUCAUUUCCUUAGUAACGUAGCUAACGCGUGAAGUUGACCGCCUGGGGAGUACGGUCGCAAGAUUAAAACUCAAAGGAAUUGACGGGGACCCGCACAAGCGGUGGAUGAUGUGGAUUAAUUCGAUGCAACGCGAAAAACCUUACCUACCCUUGACAUGCCACUAACGAAGCAGAGAUGCAUUAGGUGCUCGAAAGAGAAAGUGGACACAGGUGCUGCAUGGCUGUCGUCAGCUCGUGUCGUGAGAUGUUGGGUUAAGUCCCGCAACGAGCGCAACCCUUAUCUCUAGUUGCUACGAAAGGGCACUCUAGAGAGACUGCCGGUGACAAACCGGAGGAAGGUGGGGAUGACGUCAAGUCCUCAUGGCCCUUAUGGGUAGGGCUUCACACGUCAUACAAUGGUGCAUACAGAGAGUUGCCAAGCCGCGAGGUGGAGCUAAUCCCAGAAAAUGCAUCGUAGUCCGGAUCGUAGUCUGCAACUCGACUACGUGAAGCUGGAAUCGCUAGUAAUCGCGGAUCAGCAUGCCGCGGUGAAUACGU